AUGCGAGUGUGCGCGCCCGCCCGUCCGCACACAGGGGCGGGCGUCGCCUGGCACCACGCGUGGCCCCGUCACAGGGUCAGCCGGGUCCCGGGCCGGGGCGCACUCCUGGGAGGGCUUCUGCGUGGCCGGACGAGAACUUUCGCUCCUUUGGCACUUCUGCGGGCGCGCUCCUGGAGAGGUGCCAGGCGGCCCUGGGGAGCCGGGACUGACUGCACUUUGACGGGAGCUCCGGCUGCCCGGGCGGAGGGGAGCCCAGGGGCCCGGGUCCACCGCGAGCACUGCGGCCCGAGCGCAUGGCCAGCGCGUCCACACCCGCCAGGCCACGGCUGGAACCCGGAUGUUGCCCCGUAUGAGGCCGGUUUCCUGUCUGUGCGUGCCAGUGGAAGGACCGCGCCGGAGGGCAACCAGGUGCCAGUGUUGGCGAGCAGAAUCGCCCCCCACUCGGGCCCUCCUCCUGGGCCAGGCUCCAGCUUCGGGCAGGAUCCCUGCGGGAUGCUCUGGCACACGCAAGGUGGAAAUGUGUCUGUUCACUUGUACACACGCUCACACGUGCCCUGGCAGAGAGGGCUGUACCUGCCUCCCUUCCAGGCCUAUCUGCCUGCAGUCCUUUGGAGUGGACCAAGUCUUUGUGCCUCCCCCUGCAAAGCGUCCUGUGUGUUACCUAACGCCCUCACACAGGGGGCCCUGGAGCUACAGUUUUUGCCCCAAAUCAGCCAGCACGGGGUCAUCCAAUGGGGGUGUAAGGGUGAUGCCAAUGUUAGUGACAGCUUCAUCCCCUGGGGGCUUUUAUUCCUCCCCUUGAAGCCCCAUUUCUAGGCUCUGGAACAAAGGGGAGAGGAACCCGAUCUCUCUUUCGGUCUCCCUUUCUCCUCACUUCCACACCCUCACCUGCAAGCCCCUCUCUUUGAUAAACAGAGGAAAGCCUCAGGGAUCAGGUACAAAUGUAAAUAUUGCUUACCUGGGCAGGCCCCUCCUCUUUAAAAAGCAGAUGGUCCCUUUCAGGUGCAGGCUGCCCAAAGCCUCUCUCAGAAGGCAUGGGAUGCAAGCCUACUCUCUCAAAGUCCUUCUCUUGUUAAGAACAUUCGGGACAACUAGUAAAUAGUUCUUGGAAGAGUUGAAGACCUUUCUCUCAGGGCUGCAACCCUUUUAAAGCCCUGCUGAGUGUACAAAGUAGGAUCAGUAAGUUUGCUUGCAGAGUUGUGAAAUUUGAGAGAGCUGUCUUCCAAAAAAGGUUUAGUAGCAAUAGUUGAUCGAUAGAGUUUGUUUCAUUCAUGCCUUCUCUGCUAUUGAAUCCUAAGGAUUCUUAAGACCAAGUUACGAGGAGGAAGACAUUUGUUUUCAUUUUGUUAGUUUCUGGGCGAUACUAUACUUUCUGAUUAGACCAAUUUAUGUUUCUGAACUCUGCAGGAGAGUCCUCAGCCUUGGAAAUGUAAAUGAAAACCAGACUCCUCCUCUCUGAGACCUUCAGGGGGACAGAAUGAACAAACCUGCCUGGCGUCCACUCACACCCGAAGCUGCCCCGUCUGAACUUGGGUGGAGGGAAGCUGGUGGAUUUUAACACCAUUUCUUUCCACCGUGGCACCAGAAGAGCUCCUUGCAUUGAAUAGCUCUUCUAUUUCAGUGUGCAGUGUUGCAGCCGACUGAAUGGGCUUGCCUUCUGCCGAGGCAGUCUUGGAAGACGGAAGUCAUCUGUGAUUUCCCAGGAAGCUCUUCACCAGACCACCUCCUGUCCUUUUCUUUUUAAUUAUUUAAAAAUAAAAGUAUGUUUGCUUCCCUCUUGAGUGUCCGG
ensembl:lncRNA